rnacentral:misc_RNA from 1 species
CUCUAGUUUUGGAUCCUGUGGCCCUACAAAUUUUAUCUCAUUGUGGAAACUGAAUUUUUAUUUAUUUGUGACUGAACAAUGUACAUUUGAACUUUACAGAAUAAUUAUCUUGGUAUCUUGGACGUAUAGCAGAGAGGAAAAAAUUUAUCCACGCAACGUUGGCUCUGAUUAUACGAAGAUUGUUUCGAUUUGGAAGCAUCCGAUAGAUUCAAGCAAAAUCAAGAACGUCCUGGGCUCGCGCUCAAACCGGUUGAUUUAUUGAUGAUCGCUUUAACUGCAGUCGGUACACGCUACCCCUACUGGCCG